rnacentral:rRNA from 1 species
GUCUGCGUGGAGCCGACCUUGAAAUACCACCCUUUAAUGUUUGAUGUUCUAACGUGGACCCGUGAUCCGGGUUGCGGACAGUGUCUGGUGGGUAGUUUGACUGGGGCGGUCUCCUCCUAAAGAGUAACGGAGGAGCACGAAGGUUGGCUAAUCCUGGUCGGACAUCAGGAGGUUAGUGCAAUGGCAUAAGCCAGCUUGACUGCGAGCGUGACGGCGCGAGCAGGUGCGAAAGCAGGUCAUAGUGAUCCGGUGGUUCUGAAUGGAAGGGCCAUCGCUCAACGGAUAAAAGGUACUCCGGGGAUAACAGGCUGAUACCGCCCAAGAGUUCAUAUCGACGGCGGUGUUUGGCACCUCGAUGUCGGCUCAUCACAUCCUGGGGCUGAAGUAGGUCCCAAGGGUAUGGCUGUUCGCCAUUUAAAGUGGUACGCGAGCUGGGUUUAGAACGUCGUGAGACAGUUCGGUCCCUAUCUGCCGUGGGCGCUGGAGAACUGAGGGGGGCUGCUCCUAGUACGAGAGGACCGGAGUGGACGCAUCACUGGUGUUCGGGUUGUCAUGCCAAUGGCACUGCCCGGUAGCUAAAUGCGGAAGAGAUAAGUGCUGAAAGCAUCUAAGCACGAAACUUGCCCCGAGAUGAGUUCUCCCUGAGACUUAGAG